rnacentral:rRNA from 1 species
AAAGGAAUUGACGGGGGCCCGCACAAGCAGUGGAGUAUGUGGUUUAAUUCGAAGCAACGCGAAGAACCUUACCAGGUCUUGACAUCCCUCGGACCGCCCUAGAGAUAGGGCUUCCCUUCGGGGCUGAGGUGACAGGUGGUGCAUGGUUGUCGUCAGCUCGUGUCGUGAGAUGUUGGGUUAAGUCCCGCAACGAGCGCAACCCUUACGGUUAGUUGAUACGCAAGAUCACUCUAGCCGGACUGCCGUUGACAAAACGGAGGAAGGUGGGGACGACGUCAAAUCAUCAUGCCCCUUAUGACCUGGGCUACACACGUACUACAAUGGCAGUCAUACAGAGGGAAGCAAAGCAGUGAUGUGGAGCAAAUCCCUAAAAGCUGUCCCAGUUCAGAUUGCAGGCUGCAACUCGCCUGCAUGAAGUCGGAAUUGCUAGUAAUCGCGGAUCAGCAUGCCGCGGUGAAUACGUUCCCGGGCCUUGUACACACCGCCCGU